rnacentral:rRNA from 1 species
GGUAACGCGUGAGAACCUGCCUUCAGAAUGGGGACAACAGUUGGAAACGACUGCUAAUACCCAAUGUGCCGAAAGGUGAAAGAUUUAUCGUCUGAAGAUGGGCUCGCGUCUGAUUAGCUAGAUGGUGGGGUAAGAGCCUACCAUGGCAACGAUCAGUAGCUGGUCUGAGAGGAUGAGCAGCCACACUGGGACUGAGACACGGCCCAGACUCCUACGGGAGGCAGCAGUGGGGAAUUUUCCGCAAUGGGCGAAAGCCUGACGGAGCAAUACCGCGUGAGGGAGGAAGGUCCUUGGAUUGUAAACCUCUUUUAUCAGGGAAGAAGUUCUGACGGUACCUGAUGAAUAAGCAUCGGCUAACUCCGUGCCAGCAGCCGCGGUAAUACGGAGGAUGCAAGCGUUAUCCGGAAUUAUUGGGCGUAAAGCGUCCGUAGGUGGUUUUUCAAGUCUGCUGUUAAAGAAUGGAGCUUAACUCCAUAGGAGCGGUGGAAACUGAGAGACUAGAGUACAGUAGGGGUAGCAGGAAUUCCCAGUGUAGCGGUGAAAUGCGUAGAUAUUGGGAAGAACAUCGGUGGCGAAAGCGUGCUACUGGGCUGAAACUGACACUGAGGGACGAAAGCUAGGGUAGCGAAUGGGAUUAGAUA